UACGGAGGAUCCGAGCGUUAUCCGGAUUUAUUGGGUUUAAAGGGCGCGCAGGCGGGAUGUUAAGUCGGCGGUGAAAUUUUGCAGCUCAACUGUAAAAGUGCCUUCGAUACUGGCUUCCUUGAGUGUGGAUGAAGUAGGAGGAAUUUGUGGUGUAGCGGUGAAAUGCUUAGAUAUCACGAGGAACUCCGAUUGCGCAGGCAGCUUACUAAACCACUACUGACGCUCAUGCACGAAGGCGUGGGGAUCAAACAGGAUUAGAUACCCCGGUA
rnacentral:rRNA from 1 species